rnacentral:rRNA from 1 species
UACGGGGGGGAGCAAGCGUUGUUCGGAUUUACUGGGCGUAAAGGGCGCGUAGGCGGCCUUCUAAGUCGAACGUGAAAUCCCCGGGCUCAACCCGGGAACUGCGUCCGAUACUGGAAGGCUUGAAUCCGGGAGAGGGAUGCGGAAUUCCAGGUGUAGCGGUGAAAUGCGUAGAUAUCUGGAGGAACACCGGUGGCGAAGGCGGCAUCCUGGACCGGCAUUGACGCUGAGGCGCGAAAGCCAGGGGAGCAAACGGG